rnacentral:rRNA from 1 species
AUACGUAGGGGGCGAGCGUUGUCCGGAAUGAUUGGGCGUAAAGGGCGCGUAGGCGGCCCGGUAAGUCUGGAGUGAAAGUCCUGCUUUUAAGGUGGGAAUUGCUUUGGAUACUGUCGGGCUUGAGUGCAGGAGAGGUAAGUGGAAUUCCCAGUGUAGCGGUGAAAUGAGUAGAGAUUGGGAGGAACACCAGUGGCGAAGGCGACUUACUGGACUGUAACUGACGCUGAGGCGCGAAAGUGUGGGGAGCAAACAGGAUUAGAUACCCUGGUAGUCCACACUGUAAACGAUGAAUGCUAGGUGUAGGGGGUAUCGACCCCUUCCGUGCCGCAGUUAACACAAUAAGUAAUCCACCUGGGGAGUACGGCCGCAAGGUUGAAACUCAAAGGAAUUGACGGGG